AAUUGCAAAUACUUUCAAAUCAAGUUUCUUUCCUCCAAAUUAAUACAAGUUGAAGCUCAGUUGCAACGAAAAAUGGGGUCGACUCGAUUUUCUGUGAUUUUGGUUUCAUGUCUUCUGGUGAUCAUAGGCCUCAGUGAGGCUCAGUUGCAACUGGGUUUCUAUGCCAAGAACUGCCCGAAAGCAGAGAAGAUUGUGAAAGACUACGUCGAGAAGCACAUCCACAACGCACCCUCACUUGCAGCUGCUCUCCUAAGGUUGCACUUCCAUGAUUGCUUUGUCAGGGGUUGUGAUGCAUCUGUUCUUCUGAACUCGACUUCAAGUAACCAAGCUGAAAAAGAUGCUUCCCCAAAUCUAACCCUCAGAGGGUUUGACUUCAUCGACAGAAUAAAAAGCCGACUUGAAGCUCAAUGCCCUGGAAUAGUUUCAUGCGCAGAUGUUGUUGCUUUGGCAGCAAGAGAUUCUAUUGUUGCAACAGGAGGUCCAACUUGGAAGGUUCCAACAGGUAGAAGAGAUGGGGUGAUCGCAAGGGCGGCGGAAGCCGUAGCCAACCUUCCACAGCCAACUUACAAUGUCAGCAAUCUCCAAAGAUUUUUCGCCAACGUGGGUCUUGAUUUGAAGGACUUGGUCUUACUAUCUGGUGCUCACACAAUUGGGAUCUCUCAUUGCACAUCAUUCUCAAACCGCCUUUACAAUUUCACCGGAGUGGGUGACCAGGACCCCGCUUUGAACACCCAAUACGCGGCGAAGCUCAAGGCCAAGUGCAAAACUCCAACUGAUAACACCACAAUUGUUGAGAUGGAUCCUGGAAGCUUCAGGACUUUUGACCGAAGCUACUACACACAUAUACUCAAAAGGCGAGCGCUCUUCCAAUCCGAUGCUGCUUUGGCAACCAGCCCAACAACUUAUAAUUAUAUCGACCAGCUGCUCGAAGGUUCGCUGCAGAACUUCUACGAUGAGUUUGGAAAGUCUAUGGAGAAAAUGGGUCGGGCUAACGUUAAGACUGGAUCGGCUGGCGAGAUUAGGAAGCAAUGUUCAGUUGUGAAUAGCUAGAAAAUGAUAAUCUUUGGUUAAUUUUCAGUCUUCUUUUUUUUUUUUUUUUUUUUUUUGUUUGGUGUGAUAAAAUUGAUAAUAAUGGUAAAACCGCAUGUUAUGCUUUUUGAUAUUAUAUUGUUUUGUGCGAAUAAAAUUAAGAGUUAAUCUCAGUUUACUACUCUAAAAUUUAUUAAUUUUUAAUAUUUAGUAUAUGAAAUUUUUUUUCAUCUUAAAGUGGUACAUAAAGUUAUAAUUUUGAAAUAUUUUCAUACAUCAGUUCAGGUUGCUGUUAAAUUUACGUUAACUGAUAAUUAAGUGGACAAUGACUAGACUGUUGGACAUUAAAAAAUAAAAUUAAGUGGACAAUGACUAGACUGUUGGACAUUAAAAAAUAAAAAAUAAAAUAAAAUAAAGCUUUUGGUCUUCUCCCUCAUCCCUUCCGAAACCCGCCGCCACCCCCCGCCCCCUUACCCACCCUUCUCCCUCCCUCUUCGACUCCACCGGUCCACCCCAAAAAAACCCAAUCCCAGAUUUCCUUCGACGCCCUACAGUCGCCGAUCGCCCUCGUGAAAUCGCCGUUCCCAUCGGACAGCAGCAGCAUUUCGUAGCUGAUCACGAAGCAACCCAGCAAAUUCCUUCAAGUCCUCGCCUAAUAAGAAAAAAAUGGAUUAACUAUUUUAUUCCUUCAUCUACCCAUCCAUCUACAUGUCCUUCAUCUAGCUUCCACCGAUCCCAUUUCCGUUUCGAUCUGCAAUCUCUAUUGACUGCGAACUGUUGCGGUCUUUAAUUGGGAAUGUGCGUAGAGUUUCGGUGUUCACACCUGCUCGGGUGGCCACACUACCUCCUUCUCUUUGUCUACCUUUUCUGGCUCCCACAGGCUUCUUUAGCUUCUUUAGUUUCGCUCUAUUUAUGGCUAUGCCAUUAAUUUAAUGAGUGGGCCAUGCUGCCUCCGGCUGUCGAUGUCGUCAGAGGCAUGGUUCACAGAGGGGUUGAUGGGUUGCAGGUAGAGAGAGGGUUGACGGGAAGGGGGAAGCCGCUGACAAAGCCUUCACAUCCAUCAUCACCUCCCAAAAAGGGGUCUCGAUUUUCUUACGGUCUUGGCCGUAACUCAGGCCGUUUCCUCACUAAUUCCACUCCAGCUCCCCAAAACUUCGAAAUCCAAGAGAAUCCCGUUCUAGGAAUUGCUUCAACGUCACUAUAUAUGGAAUCUAUGUGGGUCCGUAGCGUUUCGAGCUGGGAGACGACGGAAUUGCCGUUAUUGCUUCUGGAGUCACCUGCAAUGUGAGUAUGAAUUGGCACCAUUCUCACAUUACUUGGAUUGCUGCUGCUGUUGUUUCGGAGGAAGGUCGUGCUUCGGUUCAGUGUGGAUGGCUGGUGUUUUGUUAUACUCUAUACAAGGGCUCUUGAUUGUUCCUAGUGGUUUGCUCUUGCCUAAUAAUCAGGUGAACAAAAAGGUUUAUGUGGAUUUACGUGUUGGUGAUGUCAUCCAUUUUGGGUUGUGAGUAUCUUCUUAUCUUAACUCUCACUCUGCAACGCGAUUGACGAUCUCUUCAAUCUCUGUUUCGUUAUCUCUUCAAUCCCUGCUUUGUGAACUCUUCAAUCCCUGCUUUGCGAUCUCCGUUGUUCACCCUGCCUUCUCAUCUCCGUUGAUAUUUCCACCAACCAAUGAAGUGCCCGGAGUUUGAACGUGAAAUGCCCAGGAGGCCGCCCAGUGCAAGGUAUAUUUGAUCUCCGUUGCACACCUCGCCUUCUCAUCGCCAGUUGCACACCUUACCAGAACUUGAAUCAAUGAUGAAGAUGGCUGAUAUGGAUACACACUAUCUGUCUGUUUACGGUUUUCCAUUUAUUUAAUUUGGAUAGAGUUUGGAAAAUUAUCUUUGGUUGCUGCAUCGGCGGCUUAGUCGGCUGCAAGUGUAGUCCAGGCAGGCACAAAUGAGAUCACUUCUAAGGCUUCGAAGCUCAAGAGGCUAUGCCACUGGUAUUUCAAAUGUCCAUGAUUUCUACUGCCAGAACGUAUCAUCUGGCUAAAUUAUAGGACAGAACUUCAUUUACCAGUUUACAAUUCAACCCCACAAUACCAAAGUACAAGAGAAACAAAGAUUGGAGUGUUAACUGCCUGAAUCGAUUAAAAAACAUUGCGUAGGGGCUGCGCCACCAUUCAAUUACUCUUGGGCACCUGAGGAUGGUGUGAUCAUAUGCUUCACUUUCGGGUACAACUAAUUUUUUGUAUUAAUUGGACGACAGUGAUCCUGACACGGCAGAUCGUCUUCUUGAUGUUGCCUGUUCCUCGGUUUGAAUUGAUUGAAUGGCGAAUGACUGAAAAAUACCGUUGCAUCACCACGGAAAAUGAGCUGUCCAGUGUGAGCAUAAUCCAUGGAGAGAAAAUUUGGGCUAUAAGAGCACAACGCAAAGCUUCCUGUAAGCAUGGGAAAAAACCAAGGCACAGUUACAAGCGAGACUUCCAGUCCACAGUUGAGAGACAAGGAAAAGUUUAGGGUUUUUGUUUGGCCAUAAUUGACGAAGUAAAGGUUAUUUAUUCACCUUCAAGCGACACAAGAUGUGGUCCUAUUCAGUUAACUUGAAAGCAAUUUAAAUAAUACCUUAGAUUGACGUAAAAAAAAAAAAACAGAGACAAUUACGGAGUGUAUGGCUGAUGCUGCACGCACUACCCAGUCUGCCAUCAACAAUGGUGGAAUGCUUCACCAGGUUAUUCUGGGACUUUGUCAACAACGCAGAGUUGUCUUCAUGGCGCACCACCAUUCCGUUCAGCAUAGCUCGACAGCAGUUUUAGAAUUAUAUUGGGGACUGUCCAAAUUUUGGUUUAGCUACAGAUGAAGCAAGAUCAAAAGGUUAUAAAUUAGAGUGGUUGACAAAGAGAAACAAAAGAGCUCUCUAUGAAGCUCUUGAGAAUAUAGUAUUAGGGUUCCAAUCUUUGCUUCUAACAGUGGGACAAGACCGCAUUUCAGAUAUGUGUACAUCGAAGGCUGUUGAAACAACUUGGCAUCCAUGCAAUAAUAAGCAAGAUGUCAAAUCAGACAAAGCCAAAGAUAAGAGUGGUGCUUCAGAUGACAACUCCGGCAGAAGGUUUCUCUCAGCCUUGGAUUCCAGUGGGGGGUGGCCGAUGCGAGCUGUUGGAUAUGACAAAUGUGCAACCAAGGUGCACUGAAUUGUCAGCUCAGUUGAAUGUAUAUAAAAGCCAAGCUGCACAUCAUAUCGACCUCAUUCAGGGCCUGUUUGGGAUUGAGGUGAUUAAAAAAAAAGCUACUAUGAAAAAAAGCUAUGAAAAUUUUUGGUGUUUGGUAAACUUUGAAAAACAGCUUUGUUUCAAAGUUGAGGGUGAAAAAAAGCCCAAAACAAGGAGAUGACAAGAAGCUGCAAUUUGCAGCUUCCAAAAGCAGCUUAUUUUCACCCACACACGGGUGAACAGUGUACAAGUUUAAUGAAAUAUGAAUAACCCAAGCGUCGUCGUCGUCCUCUGCGAUUGCGCGCCCCGGCGUCAUGGCUCCGCGGGGCUCGGUCGCCGCGACGGCUGGAAUGCGUCGCCGUUGUGUCGGAGGCUCCACCGGCUCCGGAAGCAUCGGCGGAGGAGGAGGCGGAUCAGGUGCCGGAAACAACAUGCUGAGGUUCUACACGGACGACGCUCCUGGCUUGAAGAUCACCCCGACUGUUGUCCUCGUCAUGAGCCUCUGCUUCAUAGGCUUCGUCACGGCUCUUCAUGUGUUUGGCAAGCUGUACCUCCACCGAUCUGGUGGCGGAGCUUGAGUUCUGAGUCCUGGUUCGGAUCGGGUUCGGAUUCGGAGCUUAAUCGGUAAUUCAAUGACACGAAUGCUUUGUUUUCGCUUUGCUCUGUAAAUUUUCGCAGAGUUGAUGUUGUUAGGGUUUCAAUUUUGUUUAAAGUUUGGAUCUGUUGACUCUUGGAUUGUGUUUGGAUCAAAAUCGAGUAAUAUUUAUCCCUUCGUUAUUUUGCUCUCUAA